rnacentral:rRNA from 1 species
UACAUGGGGUGCAAACGUUGCUCGGAAUUAUUGGGCGUAAAGCGCGCGUAGGCGGUUACUUAAGUCGGAUGUGAAAGCCCUCGGCUUAACUGAGGAAGUGCACCCGAAACUGAGUAGCUAGAGUACGAAAGAGGGUCGCGGAAUUCCCGGUGUAGAGGUGAAAUUCGUAGAUAUCUGGAGGAACACCGGGUGCGAAGGCGGCAUCCUGGACCACGACUGACGCUGAGUGAGCGAAAGCCAGGGGAGCAAACGGG